GCUGAAGAGAUUAAACUUCCAGAGAUUACUUUCUCAAAGAAAGUUCAGACAGAGUGGACUUGUGCAGUAUGCCAAAUGAAAACCACCUCCGAGCAAAACUUGAAAUCCCAUCUUAACGGAAGUAAACAUAAAGCAAAGUGUGAAGGACUGAAAGCUUGCAAGCAGACUCCCAAAAGUGAAGGAAGCUCACCUGUUACAAAAUCAAAUCAGCAUAAUCAGCAAGUAAAACAUGCAGCCGUAGCACGAUCAGAACACAGUGCUAAUGAGGCAGCUGAACCCAAACAGGUUAUUAUUUUUAAACCCUAGAACUUUCUUGGACAUCUUUUUGAUAUUAUGCCUUCACAAGUAUUGAUGAGGAUGCAAUUAUUGAGAAAACGAUAGAUGAAGAUCUUAUGUAAUUGAUUGAUUAAAAGAGGAGAGCUAGAUGUUUCCAUGAAUAUAGCUAAUUAGCUGCUAGUGAUACUCUUGUUGGUCAAGUUAAUAGAAGUGCAGGAUGAGGCUUAUUUGUAUACGAAGAGUCGAAGACAAAAGAUUAGGCUGAUCAGUCAAGCUACAGGUGGAGGAUGGGAACUGAUAUUUGAUAAUGCACACUGAGAUCAAGUACGCUAUCACUUAAACUUGAGAAGAAACUCUGUAUAUGCUGAAACAAUCACGGAGUAACCUGAAAGUUAAAACUGGUGCAUUUUUCGAAUCUCAGUUCUGCUGUGAACAUUUGAGACCACCAAAAGAGGGAGAGGACUGAAGCUCUUAAUUUAUUGGAAUUUAUUUUUUAUAGUCUAAGUAAAAGUAGUCUGUAUGCCAGUGAUUAAAAUAUCAUCUGUGGAACUGCAGCUUAAAAGUGUGAAGGAAAAUCUAAUCCAGAUUGGGAAGAAACCAACAGCUAUGCAGAUAAAGGGAACAGCACUUCCAGUGGAUGCCGAGGAGAUUAAACUCCCAGAAACCAAUUCUGUAAAGAAUGUUCAGACAGAGUGGACUUGUGUGGUAUGUCAAGUGAUAACCACCUCAGAGCAUGACUUGAAGUGCCAUCUUCUAGGAAGGAGACAUAGGGAAAGGCAUGCACUUCCAGUGGAUGCCGAGGAGAUUAAACUCCCAGAAACCAAUUCUGCAAAGAAUGUUCAGACAGAGUGGACUUGUGUGGUAUGUCAAGUG
rnacentral:lncRNA from 1 species